rnacentral:rRNA from 1 species
UACGGGGGGAGCAAGCGUUGUUCGGAUUUACUGGGCGUAAAGGGCGCGUAGGCGGCGCAACAAGUCACUUGUGAAAUCUCCGGGCUUAACCCGGAGCGGUCAAGUGAUACUGUCGUGCUAGAGUGCGGAAGGGGCUACUGGAAUUCUCGGUGUAGCGGUGAAAUGCGUAGAUAUCGAGAGGAACACCAAUUGGCGAAGGCAGCUCGCUGGGACGUUACUGACG